UACGUAGGGUGCGAGCGUUAAUCGGAAUUACUGGGCGUAAAGCGUGCGUAGGCGGUUUUGUAAGUCAGAUGUGAAAUCCCCGGGCUCAACCUGGGAAUGGCAUUUGGGACUGCAAGGCUGGAGUGCGGCAGAGGAGACUGGAAUUCCUGGUGUAGCAGUGAAAUGCGUAGAUAUCAGGAGGAAUACCGAUGGCGAAGGCAGGUCUCUGGGCUGACACUGACGCUCAUGCACGAAAGCGUGGGGAGCAAACAGG
rnacentral:rRNA from 1 species